UGGGGAAUAUUGGACAAUGGGCGCAAGCCUGAUCCAGCCAUGCCGCGUGAGUGAUGAAGGCCUUAGGGUUGUAAAGCUCUUUUGUCCGGGAAGAUAAUGACUGUACCGGAAGAAUAAGCCCCGGCUAACUUCGUGC
rnacentral:rRNA from 1 species